GACGAACGCUGGCGGCGUGCUUAACACAUGCAAGUCGAGCGGUAAGGCCCUUUCGGGGGUACACGAGCGGCGAACGGGUGAGUAACACGUGGGUGACCUGCCCUUAGCUCUGGGAUAAGCCUGGGAAACUGGGUCUAAUACCGGAUAUGACUCCAUGACGCAUGUUGUGGGGUGGAAAGCCUUGUGCGGCUAGGGAUGGGCCCGCGGCCUAUCAGCUUGUUGGUGGGGUGAUGGCCUACCAAGGCGACGACGGGUAGCCGGCCUGAGAGGGCGACCGGCCACACUGGGACUGAGACACGGGCCCAGACUCCUACGGGAGGCAGCAGUGGGGAAUCUUGCGCAAUGGGCGAAAGCCUGACGCAGCGACGUCGCGUGAGGGAUGACGGCCU
rnacentral:rRNA from 1 species